rnacentral:rRNA from 1 species
CGUACACUCCUACGGGAGGCAGCAGUGGGGAAUAUUGGACAAUGGGCGCAAGCCUGAUCCAGCCAUGCCGCGUGAGUGAUGAAGGCCCUAGGGUUGUAAAGCUCUUUCACCGGUGAAGAUAAUGACGGUAACCGGAGAAGAAGCCCCGGCUAACUUCGUGCCAGCAGCCGCGGUAAUACGAAGGGGGCUAGCGUUGUUCGGAUUUACUGGGCGUAAAGCGCACGUAGGCGGACUAUUAAGUCAGGGGUGAAAUCCCGGGGCUCAACCCCGGAACUGCCUUUGAUACUGGUAGUCUUGAGUUCGAGAGAGGUGAGUGGAAUUCCGAGUGUAGAGGUGAAAUUCGUAGAUAUUCGGAGGAACACCAGUGGCGAAGGCGGCUCACUGGCUCGAUACUGACGCUGAGGUGCGAAAGCGUGGGGAGCAAACAGGAUUAGAUACCCCGGUAGUCC